UUACUUCCAAUUGCUUCAUUUUUCUUUCUGUUUUCAGGGUGACACUGGAUUAACUGGACCCCCUGGACCACCGGGAACAGUUAUUGUGACAUUAAGUGGACCAGACAACAUGACGGACUUGAAAGGAGAGAAAGGAGAAAAAGGAUCAAGAGGACUCCCAGGGCCAGUGGGGUUUACAGGGCCAGUUGGUGAUUCUCAGAGUGAAAAGGGUGAUCGAGGAGAACCCGGAGCGCAGGUG
rnacentral:lncRNA from 1 species